AGACAUUGAUCCGGAGGGAAAGAAAUUCGACAGAGGUAACGUUAAUUAGUUCAAAUUCAUUUAAUUUAAAUGUUGCUGUAGAGUUUUAUCGAUUAGUGAUUUUAAUAAAAGAGCAGGGAUGCCGUGUCGAACGAGUCUGGACAAACCACGUGGUUUACGUCGAUACGUAUACACAAAACUACUUUGUUUUAUUUACUUUCUCAAAUAGUUUCCUAUACGAUCAUCAGUUAAUUGGAGGGUUGCAACUUAGGCGAAAACAGUAAAAAAAGUAUUUACAGGAAUUAAUUACCGAAACAUAAGUGACGUCACUAAAAUAUUGCGCAUCGCACGCAAAGUGCAGUUACUUUGCGGAUAUCUUGGCCUUCGGAGGUUCAGGUAGGUGUAUAUACACACAAAACUUUUACCCGUACAUCUGUCGCAGCGCGGUUAUUAGAAUCUGCAACAUAUUCUAUGGCAAACAGUCGCCAGCUGAUCGGACGAUGUUUAGUUGUCGCCGAUGAUGUUUCUGAGCGCUCUCCGUCAAUUCCCUUUGUAAACGGACGAGCGAUUGGUAGAGGCAACCGGAUGACGAAACACUGGCGUAAAGCCUUACUCGUUAGCUGGACGUUCGAGAUGGAGGGAGGAGAAAUCGGGGGAACUAAGUUGCGUACGUGGAAGAAACGACGCAGUCCGUAGAUUGACACCGAGUGGUAUGCUAUGCAACUUUGUUAUAUCAAUACGACCGUACUUUUUUGUGUGGUUUAUCUAUUGCCGUCGCCGAUGGACGAUAACCAAUAUAAGGUUAUCAGAUAACCACUUCAAAUAUCGACAGUGAGUCGUCUACAAUGCGAAAGCGAAUCGUUCAAA
rnacentral:lncRNA from 1 species